AUGGCUUUGGCUAGGGCUACUGAAUCAAAGAUUGUGUUCCUGUGUGAGACUAGACAAAGUGUAGAAAAAGUCCGUCGUCUUCAUGCUAGAUUGGGUCUUAGAGGUUUUGCUGGUGUCGACAGUGUUGGGCUUAGUGGGGGUCUUGCUUUGUUUUGGUGUGAUCAGAUGUACGUGGAUGUU
rnacentral:rRNA from 1 species